CGACCGAGAACGAGACCGACCCUUACCUUUUAAAUAGCCAGGCUAUCUUUGGCGGGUCGCGGGUUUUUAAAAGGGCCUAUCGGGUCUAACCGAUGGAAGUUUGAGGCAAUAACAGGUCUGUGAUGCCCUUAGAUGUUUUGGGCCGCACGCGCGCUACACUGACAGAGCCAACGAGUUUAUUUCCUUGGCCGAAAGGUCUGGGUAAUCUUGUUAAACUCUGUCGUGCUGGGGAUAGAGCAUUGCAAUUAUUGCUCUUCAACGAGGAAUUCCUAGUAAGCGCAAGUCAUCAGCAUGCGUUGAUUACGUACCUGCCCCCUUUUA
rnacentral:rRNA from 1 species